rnacentral:rRNA from 1 species
UGGGGAAUAUUGCACAAUGGACGGAAGUUUGAUGCAGCGACGCCGCGUGGAGGGUGUAGGCCUUCGGGUUGUGAACUCCUUUUUCUCGCGAAAAAGGCACAGUUUUGGCUGUGUUGAUGGUAGUGGGGGAAGAAGCGCCGGCUAACUACGUGCCAGCAGCCGCGGUAAUACGUAGGGCGCGAGCGUUGUCCGGAUUUAUUGGGCGUAAAGAGAUCGUAGGUGGUUCGUCGCGUCUGUCGUGAAAGCCAGCAGCUUAACUGUUGGUCUGCGGUGGGUACGGGCGGGCUUGAGUGCGGUAGGGGUGACUGGAAUUCCUGGUGUAGCGGUGGAAUGCGCAGAUAUCAGGAGGAGCACCGAUGGCGAAGGCAGGUCACUGGGCCGUUACUGACACUGAGGAGCGAAAGCGUGGGGAGCGAACAGG